UCCCAGACUCCUACGGGAGGCAGCAGUGGGGAAUAUUGGGCAAUGGGCGCAAGCCUGACCCAGCAACGCCGCGUGAAGGAAGAAGGCUUUCGGGUUGUAAACUUCUUUUAAGAGGGAAGAGCAGAAGACGGUACCUCUUGAAUAAGCCACAGCUAACUACGUGCCAGCAGCCGCGGUAAUACGUAGGUGGCAAGCGUUAUCCGGAUUUACUGGGUGUAAAGGGCGUGUAGGCGGGUCUGCAAGUCAGAUGUGAAAUUCCAGGGCUCAACCCUGGAACUGCAUUUGAAACUGUAGAUCUUGAGUGAUGGAGAGGCAGGCGGAAUUCCGUGUGUAGCGGUGAAAUGCGUAGAUAUACGGAGGAACACCAGUGGCGAAGGCGGCCUGCUGGACAUUAACUGACGCUGAGGCGCGAAAGCGUGGGGAGCAAACAGGAUUAGAUACCCCAGUA
rnacentral:rRNA from 1 species